UUAUUCUAUUUCAAAAAGUGAAUUUAUAUAUUCAACAAUGAUUUAUUCUGGACAUGCAUACUCUAAGAGGGACAUGACAUCUUAAUAUAUGGAUAGUUAAGAUAAGAAAAGAUUCUUAUACGGAUUUCAAGGACAUGAUUUUGGAUAGAUUUGGAUUAUGAUGUUUGAACCUUUGUACACUCAUGCAAGUCAUGUCAAUAUAAUAAAGUAUGCAACAUUGUUGUAAUAUAUGAAGUCUUGCUUAAAAAUUCUCUAGACACCUAAUUUUGGAAGAUAGAAUGGAAAUUACAACAAAAAAAUCCUAAUUCUAAUAGAAUACUAACUAAAUACUAAAUAGACCAUAACAAUGCUAAGUAAGCUUUAAUCAAAUUCAAAAAAACCUCAAAAGAAUUACAAAGAAAUAAUAAAAAAUCUUAAAGAAAUAUUAGAAUGAUUACAAAUAUAUUUCAAAUAUAUCUCAAUUCAAUCUUAAUUUAAUCCUAAUUAAAAUCCUAUUGGACUUCAUUCAAACUUUAGACCAAAAACUAACUAAAUCUUAAAUCCUAAUCAAACCCUAAAUCCUAAAUUAAAGUAUAACCAAAUCCUAAAUCAAACCAUAACCAAAUCCUAACCAAAUCCUAACCAAAUCCUAAAUCAAACCAUAACCAAAUUUUAAAUCAAAUCCUAAUUAAAUCCUAAAUCCUAAAUAAAAUCCAAAUCAAACCCUAAAUCCUAAAUCCUAAAUUCUAAAUAAAAUCCAAAUUAAAUCCUAAAUCCUAAAUCAAACUAUAACUAAAUCCUAACCAAAUUCUAAAUCAAAUCCUAAUCAAAUUCUAAAUCCUAAAUAAAAUCCUAAUCGAAUCUUAAAUCCUAAAUCAAACCCUAACCAAAUCCUAAAUCAAAUCCUAAAUCAAAUCCUAAAU
rnacentral:lncRNA from 1 species